CCAGACUCCUACGGGAGGCAGCAGUAGGGAAUCUUCGGCAAUGGGGGGAACCCUGACCGAGCAACGCCGCGUGAGUGAAGAAGGUUUUCGGAUCGUAAAGCUCUGUUGUUAAGGAAGAACGAGUGUGAGAAUGGAAAGUUCAUACUGUGACGGUACUUAACCAGAAAGGGACGGCUAACUACGUGCCAGCAGCCGCGGUAAUACGUAGGUCCCGAGCGUUGUCCGGAUUUAUUGGGCGUAAAGCGAGCGCAGGCGGUUAGAUAAGUCUGAAGUUAAAGGCUGUGGCUUAACCAUAGUACGCUUUGGAAACUGUUUAACUUGAGUGCAAGAGGGGAGAGUGGAAUUCCAUGUGUAGCGGUGAAAUGCGUAGAUAUAUGGAGGAACACCGGUGGCGAAAGCGGCUCUCUGGCUUGUAACUGACGCUGAGGCUCGAAAGCGUGGGGAGCAAACAGGAUUAGAUACCCUGGUAGUCCACGCCGUAAACGAUGAGUGCUAGGUGUUAGACCCUUUCCGGGGUUUAGUGCCGCAGCUAACGCAUUAAGCACUCCGCCUGGGGAGUACGACCGCAAGGUUGAAACUCAAAGGAAUUGACGGGGGCCCCGCACAAG
rnacentral:rRNA from 1 species